CUGCAGACGCAGCGCAGCACCGCAGUGAGUGCUUAGCUCCACCCCUUUUCCUUCGGGGCUGCUGCUACCAUGGCAACCUGUGACGUCAGGGUAGCAGCUGCAUCUAACUGUAGCGCGAGAAUUCGCUACCCAGUGGUAAUGGUGGCACCGGGGUUUGAACCCAAGACCACAAGUAAGUGAGACAAGCUCUCUACCACUGAGCCACAACCCUAGUCCAAAACACAAACUAUGGAGUCAAGUCCUAGUUGUGCUGGUUAAGAAGCUGGUUGGAGUGGCACACAGUGGUACCGACAGUGACCUGGGCUUGGGAGAGUUGGCCCCAACAGCAUGGGUGCAGGAGAGUCAACCCUGCCUCUCAAAUGGAUGACACAGGAGAGCUGGCCUCGAUGGCUUGGAUGUGGGUGAGCUGCUCCCACCUCUCUGGCUGACCGACUUGGAAGAGCAGGGCCUGUCCCUCGCCUGGGCAGCAAAGCAGGCCCUAACACCCAGGACAGCUGGCCUGUUGAUGCUACUGACUGAAGAGAUGGUCCUGUCCCUCCUCUGGGCAGUGUGGGAGACACUGGAGAGCCAGCCCCUAUGACAUGGGCAUGGGAGAGCUGGCCCCACCUCUUGCCCAGAGGGGUGCACAUGCUGGAGAGCUGGUCUGCAAGUAGGAUCAUUCCAUGACUCAGCACAACAGUAGGGUAUUUGAGAGUUUCUCUGAGGGUUCAGUAUUGAUGUUGCAGUAGAAGCCAAAGGCAUUGAACUAGCCUAACAACUAGUUGCAACGAACAUUUGAAAAAAAAAAAAAGCUGUUUGGGCUGAUUGGGCAAAAGGGUGUAUGAGAUACUAAUGUGAUACGUAGCAACUUGGAAUGCCACUACAAGGAAAGAAUGUAUGAUGGAGACGCAGGAACCACAGAGGAGUGGAAUGGUACAUCCCAGAAUGCUGCAGUUGAUACAGGAGCAGGUCAUUGCCAAGAGGGGUGGAUGAGGUUUUUUUUGGGAGGGUCUACAAGGAUGCAGGUUGCUGAGAAAUAAAAAUUAUGUUUUUAAAAAAGUUAUCAUUCCACUGACUAAAUCCAAGAAAGGCACAUAUUUUACAUUUCUUUUGUUUUUUUUCCUUUUGUUUUUGUUGUUUCAAGAUAGAAUUUCUCUGUGCAUCUCUGGCUGUCCUGGAACUUACCUUUAGAUCAGGCUGGCCUUGAACCAGAGAUCCACCUGCCUCUGCUGGGAUUAAAGGCAUGUGCCACCAUGACCAGCUCUAGUCUGCAUUUCAUAAGGACAGCAGUUCCUGAUUUCUCGGUAACCGGCUUAUUCAUAUAAGUGAGGGAAAGUUCAGCUAAGCAACUUCAUCUGCCCAGUAAACAUCCUAAGUUACAUUUGUAAUGACAAGAAAGUUACAGUCUUCUAGGAUCUGGAGACACUCUAUUUUCUUUAUAAACAUAUUCCUUUUUUAAAAAGCAGAUUGGGAAAGGCAUUCAACUAAUAUCAAGCCAUACAUAUUUAGAAUUUCAGAUAUAUUUUAUGGCAAAAUUAGAAGUUGCCACAAUAGAAUACAAGUUUCUUAGCUUGACAUGAAAAUGAGUACAGCCUGUGUUCCUCAUAUCUUGGGUAAUAUACUUUUUUUGCUGAACCUAUAUUGAAAAUAUAAACCUAUAUAUAUGGAAAUAAUGACACAGAAAUAAUGGAAUUACAAAGCAGAGCAGACAGUAAAUUGCUACUACAGCUAUGAAUGUGUUUAGAAUGGUUUCGGUUUUAUGGUGCUGUGCGUUUCCAGUAUGGUAUCUUCCAAGUGCAGACAGUUGAAGUGGUACCAUCGUGUGUUACAUGUGCUCGUGGUGACUUGGUGAGUGAAACACAGUGGUUAUCAGUAAUGUUUCAGUCUACUAUUGUAAACAAUAGGCACCUAGGGCCGUUUAGAAGAUAGGAAAAUAGUCUCAUCUUUAUUAGGGGUACUUGACACCUCACUGAACUCCACACACACAUCACCCACCCGCCAUGCUCUACAAUCAGCCCUUUGUUUCAUGCUGCACCCACAUGUGAGAUGUGAAAAGGUCCAAACCUCGCUAUUUUCUCACCAAUUACUUUUCAUAAUAAAAGCAAACAUAAUUCCUUGUCAGUUAUUUUUCAAUCCCCACAUAGCGCCUACAAUAUGGAAAAAGAAAAAUAAUGGACAAAGGAGGAUUGUUACAAAAAUUAAAAAGAUGACUUUGAGGCACUCUGAUGCAAUUGCAGGGAAUUUUGGACAAGUUUUUAAAGACUUGAUUUGAGAAGACAGACACAGUAUGCAAAAACAAGCUGUCAAAUUCAGUGUGUUCCACUGAACUGAAAAAAUAAAUCUGUGUUUUCAGCAGAAAAAUUGUUACGUAGCAUCUCAGAUGCAUUCAAUUACAAAAUUUGUUUAUAUGUUAGCAUAUUUAAUGACAAAGUAUCAGAACCAUUUACUGGUGGUAAGUUUAUUAAAUCAUGAAUGGAACAUGGUUUGAUAUCCCCUCUAAGAGUAAUAUUUCUAAAAUCAGCUUGUCUCACCAGCCUGCAAUUUGAGGAAACUAGGUGGAAUUAACUAUGAGGAGUAAAUUUUACAUUUUAUGCUUUAAUGACAGAUUGCCACACUGAUGCUACAAACACAGUUCACCUUGCCACUGUUGUUAAAAGUAUUUAUGACCAUCAUGUUCCUGAAGAAACAGAUUCUCAACUAAAUCAAAAGAUUUUACACCAAAUGGUCAAAAAGAAGUUAAAGGGAUUUGCUUUGUCCAUUGUCAACAUAUCUGUUAUAGUCACUGAUAAUGCCUUGGAGACAAAAGAUAAAGGAGCAGGGUUGUAAUGUAACAGAAGACAAUGCAACCACUUUCUCAAAUUCAUGUUUGAAUAAGUAUAUCGUUACCAACUUGUGAAUCUUGCAAGAGCCAAGGAACUAAUCGUAACCAAUUCAGAAAUUCCUCUAAAGUGUUGAGGUUGACUAUGGAGACAUCAUUUACUUUUCAAAAGUAAGAUGGCUAAGUUAAGACCAAAUAUUGAAAUUAUUUUUUCGUUUAGGGCAUGUUAUCAAGUUGUUUAUGGAAGCAAAAGCUAAAU